rnacentral:tRNA from 1 species
GGAGUUGUAGCUCAGUGGCAGAGCGCUUGCCUAGCAUGUAUGAGGCCCUGGGUUCUAUCCCCAGCACCA